rnacentral:rRNA from 1 species
UCGUACCCCAAACCGACACAGGUGGUCAGGUAGAGAAUACCAAGGCGCUUGAGAGAACUCGGGUGAAGGAACUAGGCAAAAUGGUGCCGUAACUUCGGGAGAAGGCACGCUGAUAUGUAGGUGAAGUCCCUCGCGGAUGGAGCUGAAAUCAGUCGAAGAUACCAGCUGGCUGCAACUGUUUAUUAAAAACACAGCACUGUGCAAACACGAAAGUGGACGUAUACGGUGUGACGCCUGCCCGGUGCCGGAAGGUUAAUUGAUGG